UCCCAUCAACAUCUACACAUAUUUCUGGAAUAAAACUGAAAUAGAACCCUUAUACAAAUAUUAAGUCUAACAAACCAAGAUGAACUGUGAAACAAUCCUGAUACUACUGAAACUUACUGCACUGACUCUCAUGGUUCAUAUAUACAACACAAUUCUGAGCAUUCUUAAGCCAUUUAAUAGAAAAGAAAGAAUUAACCGCAAUUAAAACAUGACGAGCUAGACCAAAACAAAGCAAGGUAACUAAGUAACAUGACCCUAAAAGGAAAGGGGGCAGAAUAAAAUCCUAAAUAAAAUAAAUUACAUGUCCUCUUAACAAACUCAUCCAGAUCGAAAUGGCUAUUUGAGCUCUAAAAGUUCAAGGUGAAUUAAAAAAAAAAUCAAUUGUCAACAAAAUGAGAAGCAAUCUGAGCAGAACUAUCAGUUGCUUCACAAGUGCAACAAUAACAUUAAAAAGAAACUGCUCUUUACAAAUCAUCAAAGCACCUUCACGUUCACCUAUUCUCAUACAUUAAAAGAGGUGAUGAAUACCUGGAAAUUGAAAAGCGAAGAAAGAAAUGAUUGGAGAUUAGCGGUGUUAUCAACCACAGGAACAGGUAUCAGCAGCAAUUUAAGCCCAGGAAUGGAUGAGGAAGACCACUUAAAACGAUUUUGAAAAGUGAAGAAUCAAAUUUCGAUCAAAAUGACCCCCCCCCCUCCAAAACUUGAAUAUCAUACAUACUUCAGCUCAUUUUUAACUAUUAAUAACUCGAAAAAUUUCCAUAGAGUGAAUUCCACAAGAAAUUUCAGAGAUUAUUCAAUGAAACAAUAGUAUUUUGGUAUUUUUUAUUCUAUGGCUUGACUGAAACAGUAGAGUUUUGUAGGUUUUUGUGUCUGGAUUUUUCAGCUCUCAAAAUUUCUAAAAUAGCAGCCUUUUUUCUGAAUUUUC
rnacentral:lncRNA from 1 species